GGCGAUUUAAAGACAUGCUAUAAAAACAACCAAAAAUAGUUUUACUUUUUUUUACAUCACCCCCACCCCUGAAAAUAAGCUUAAAAGCAGUACAAAACAAACACCUACAGCAUAGACCUUUUCAUCCAGCUGGAAAAGCUUAUCGAAACAAAAAUGUCUUCAAUUGUUUCCGGUGAGUACAGAUAGCAGGUGCCUAUUUUAUCUCAACAGGAAUGCUGUUCCACAGAACAUGUUGUUGGUAUUUCACUUACAGAAAACCCUGCACCUUAUAGUUUUGCUCAGAACCCGUGCUAGACACUGUGCUUCUUCACAAAGACAUGCAGUGAAGCUAACAGCCCUUCUGGCUUUAUCUCUGAGAUAACAGGAGCACUAAAGGUCACUGAGGAUUAAGAAAUUGUUAAGGAUUAAGUGCCUAUUACCUCUCCUUGUCCGUGUCUACACACCAGCUGGGAUGGUGUGACAGAUGUGCUACUUAGAUACACUCCUCCUCCAAAGCCUAAUGAUUUCAGCCUCAAAGGCCUGAUGCCACCAUCAGAUUCCUGGUGGCUAUAGAGAUCCAGAGGUGUCAUCAGAAAAAGAAUAAGGUGGAUAAAGAACAAGGUAGAUAAGAGGGGCAAAGGUAGAGUCCAUGUGGUAUAGAGGUUAGAACCUUGCACUACAGCCUGGGGGACCAGGGCUUCAAUCCCCACUCAGCUAUGAAGUUCACUGAGUGACCAUGGGCCAGUCACCAUCUCUCAGCCUAACCUUUGUCACAAGGUUGAGGUGAAAAUAAAAAUGGGGAGGGGGGAGAACCAGGUAUGCCAUCUUAUGCUCCUUGGAAUAGAGGUGUGAUACCAAUGUAAUCCAUUACUAAAGAACCAAGCGAGCACAGUCUUCCUCACAAUGGUGUAGCGUGGGUUGCCGGUGCCCAGGGCAAGGCAAGGCAAGUGCUGCGUCCCCUGGUGGACUGGACAGCUGGGGUGGAGGCAUGCACCUGCAGGAUGUGUGCAGAGCCUGCACAAAGGGUGAACAGAGCCCGCCUCCAUCAGACUCCUCACCUGUUGCCUCUGUCCACCUGCCCACUAGAUCAAUCUGCCUUCCGCUGCUCCGUGCUGGAGCCACAACCCCAGAGAAUGAGGCUGCCCUUCUGCCUCUUGCCUCUCUCCCUCCUGAUCCAGGUGGAGUCUCUUGCCUCUCCUUGGUUGUUAGUGCUAGUGGCGGCAUCCUCCUUGCGGCAAUGAGGAGGAGGCACCGCUGCCCGCCCCCCAGCACCGUGGGCCCGGACAGGGCACAGCUUGGCUUGCCUCCCUACAGUUCUGGCCUCAAUGAGGGAGCCUGUCAUGGGGGGUGCCUGGUAGUGCCCCCUCAGAAAUGUGUACCGGGUCAUCACGGCCUCUCUGGCUGCCCCUCCAUGCUAUGGUGCUGCUUCCCCAACAGAACCAAAUGCCAUAGCCUCCAUUUCUUAACAGGGCAGGCAGGCAAUUUUUAGAGUGAGUGUUCCUUUCCUCUGGCACUCUCUAUGUAAAAUUCCCUUCUAGCAUAAUACUACAGGAUGUCAGGUCAGGGUUUGCUCCAGAGAGCAAUCCUAGGGAGGAUACUUGUUUCUGCUUGCAGCUAGUUUCAUUCGUAAUGUGCAGAGAGGGAGAGUCCUUUUCAACAAGGUCUAUGUCAGACCAGUGCAUGAACAUUUAUUUUUCUACUUUCUUGUUGAAUCGAAGCAAAGGCACUUAGUUUGGGCUGCUGUAAAAAAAUAACACAGCUUAAUUUUAGGGCUAAGAUUGCGAUGAAUUCUCUCUCUCUCUCUGCAAUUUGACUGGAUUGUUUUCUGCACCCAUCUAUGACUUCCACUGGAAACCUAAAUAAGCUGUUGGGAAGAGAUGGUACUUAAAUAGCUCUAAUGAAGCAGAGGCUCUAGUUUAAGUUCUUACAAUGCAGGUAAUUUAUACAAAAUACUGGCAGUACUUUGGACGCAUUAGCUUGAUGGGGAGGAAAAGCAGGUCAGUAUUCACUUGAAAUAUGCCUGUUAUUAGCAGCACUUCUCAGCAUCUCUGCAAGGCAUAAUUUAAAAACAAUUUUUUUCUGAAUUGCACCAUCUGGAAGGGGGAAAAAUCAAUAAUAUAUUUACAUGUGGCUCAGCAGCUCCAACUGACUAUAACUUGAGUAUAUGUAAUGUAUAUUGCUUCGCCAUUUGCAGAUAUGGAUCCAGAUAACAUACUGUCUUGGCACAGGGACAAAAUACCAAAACCAGUCUGUAUUUGAGUACAGCCACCCAGGGAAGUAGUGAAGCCAUCAGCCUCUGUGAAGGGAAAGUUUGCUUCCUGUGUUAAUCCAUUGAUAUCUAGGCAGUGGUGGAGGAGGGUCAAUGCUUGAAGCGAGGAUAGCAACAAGAACACCCUCAGAUCCAGUAGUGAAAAAUCAGGAAUAGGGAAGAGCAGAUCUGUCAAUGUAGGCUUCUCUCUAGUUCACAUUUUUCCAAUCUUAAAUUCAGUUCUCCACAUUGCCAUUCCAUUUGUUUGUUUGUUUAAAAAAAACUCAUGAAAAUUCACCAGCAUUUUCAUGCCAUUUUAUACUAAUAUACAUGCUUGUAUGCAAUUUUGCCUUAUACGUUUUUGUAAACAAUCUCCUCCAAUAGAAGGCAUUUUCAUGUUAUUGUCAUCAAUAUAUGCUUCAUGUUCUUUUUGCACACUUUACCCUGCUAUGUGCAUUUCGAUUAUUUGGAUGAAGAACUCAUCACUAAAUUGGCAGAAGUGUGCAUUUUGAAGGAUGGCCGUGGGCUUGUCCACCCUGCAGCUGUUUGUGUUCCCAUUUAAUUUGCAUUGUCCACAUAAAAUUACCUUCAAAUAACAGUCCCCUGUAAAUUCAGGUUUAUUCAAUUUGGGGAUAAUCUGAUAAAUUGAGGUAAAUCAGGCUCCAAACAGCUUUGCCAGACUUUCCUCCUCUCUCUUUCUUUUUUGUUGGAGAAGGCAGAAAAGUGGGGUAAUGAUUGUCAUACACAUCCCAUUUACAAGUGAAGCAGUUUGGGGGGUUGAAAUUGUCCCUUCUGGGUUUCUUGUCCAGAUUACAUUAAUUUUGUUCCUCCUCCUUCCCAUGCAUGCUUCAAGAGAUGACAAGAAGCAGGGAAAGUGUAUUACAUAGACUGCUGCCUAAGGGGCAAGGUAAGUUGUUGCUCAGUGCUUCCUCUCCACUCUUACGCCAUUUCCACAUAUCUCUUCAGAGUUCCCCACAAAGAGGGAUUGACUAUUAAACCGUUCUGAGAAUUGUAGCUCUGUGAGGGGAACAGGGGUCUCCUAACAACUCCCAGCACUUUUAACAAACUACACUGGGAAAGGGGCGGUGGUCAUUAUUGAGUUGGGUUUGUUUUAAGUACGUGUGUUUUUAUCUUUUAGUUUAUUCUUAGAACUGCCCUGAGCCCUUGCAAUGAAGGGUGAUCUCUGUCUCUCUCAUCUAUCCAUCUAUCUAUCUAUCAUCUAUAUCUAUCUAUCAUCUAUCUAUCAUCUAUCUAUAUCUAUCAUCUAUCUAUCUAUCAUCUAUCUAUAUCUAUCUAUCUAUCUAUCUAUCUAUCUAUCUAUCUAUCUAUCUAUCUAUCUAUCAUCUAUCAUCUCCCAGGAUUCCUUGGGGGAAGCCAUGACUGUUCAAAGUGGUAUGAAACUGCUUUAAAUGUAUAGUUCAGAUGAGGCCUAAGUUUUACUCAGAGUAAAACCACUGAAAUUAAGUUAGUCAUGCUCAUUAAUUUCAAUGAAUCUGUUCUGAAUAUGACCAACAAUGAAUACAAUCCAAACUUAUAUUUGUAAAAAAAUAUAUACUACAAUAACUUAAAAUGUAUGUCUCAGCAUAUGUCACUGAAAAUAUAUGUAACAAAAGCAAAUUAAAAAUGGAAUCCAAAAAUGAGACAGCCCCUACUCAAACCUGCCUUCAGGCAGAUGUCUUUCAUAAUCCUACUAGCCAAGGUCCUUCAGUAAGAGAUGCCAUGGACCGGUCCUGGCAUCUUGCCCCAGUGCAAAGGAGGUGCUCUUGGCCUCUCCAUACAGAUGUCGCCUACUUCCCACAAGGCAGCCUGAACCAAUUACUUUCUGAGCUGGAACCAAUUACCUUCUGAGCGACCUCACCAUCCAACAAAGCAACCACAGUAUAUAGAUGCUCACAAAACCCAAAGGGAAAUAGCAUAAGCUACUUGAGACCGUCUUGCCCAAGACUUCCCAGCAUGUGUCAUGGCUAAGUGUUGAUCUGAAAGUAUUGCAUACAAAGUCAGUCCUCUGCCUUUGUACCCUGUUUUCCCAUUUCUGUGUUUUGCUUCCCAUUUAUUUUCUUUCUACUUCAAGACUCAUAACCCUUGGAAAGCAAGGGGAAUUGUUUUCUUGCUCUCCAUCAACUGACAAGCUGUAUUCACGGUUGAUUAUAUUAUGAUACAUUCACUCUUUACAAGCAGUGAUUCAGUAGACUCCAAACCCUAUUGACAGUUGCCAUAGUGAACAUAUUAAUAAGCAUCGUCAAGGAGCUAUUGCAGUCCUGCAUCGGUGCUAAUGGUAACAGAAAUGUGGAGAGCACAUGGGGAUCGGGAAAACCAUAACCCCUUCAAGCUGGUUUCCUACUACCAAUCAGUUUUUGCUUCGGCAUCUGUGCUGGGAUGUUUUGUACGGUCCCAUUUAUUAUGUUGUCAAAUGCUGAAAGCGGCUGAAAAACUGGGAGACGUGCAAUCUGAUGUCUGCGGAGAAGAGAGGAGCUUGACAGGUUUGUAAUAGGGGGAACGUUGGGCUACAACAAGCCAGCAGAGCAGUAGUUGAAAGGUUGGCUGUGCCUUGGCAUGGCAUUUCUUCAUGAGUUGGGAAAGAGGAAAUGCAGCAGUUGCAGAACUUAGUUGUUAUGUAGCUAAGAAGCUUUGACAGGCCAAUGACAGAUUAAAUCAUCGAGAGGACAUUUUUAUGAGAGGCCUCCAGAUGGCAGAAGUAAUGCAUUGUUGUAUGUCUUAGAUUCAUGGCUCUGCUAGAGCUAUUCUCUCUCCCCCCCCCGCCUCCCCCCCCUUCAUUAACAAGAUAUGUUUUCCUUUCUCUGCAAUAAGACUUAUAACAAGUUUAAAGAAAAAAGGGUUUGGAAAGAAACCUGAGAAACCAACUCUCAAUAAUGCUGGGCAACUGGGAUUUUCAAACCACAUUCCAUUGUACACAGCUUGAAUUUCUUUCUUUCCUUUCCUUUCUUUCUUUCUUUGGACAUAUUUCUUACCUUCUGCAAUAACUCUGUUUUAAUUAAUACCAAUUUUCCCUGCAAAUAUUAGGCAAAACCUCAGGUGAUCUCUAAAGCCUCAUUUGACUCUGAAUUUCUCCAGAACUGUACACUCAGUAAGAAGUUCUGUUUUCCACUCUGCAGCAAUCUAUUUUCUCCUCUUCUCUCUGCUGAUACAUCCCAUUUUCUUGUCAUAGGAGAAAUCGCUGUUGUAUAAUCUUUCCCAACAAGGAGCACAUAUCUUGUUUGAGCCUGAUUACGCUGAAACGUUGAGACUGGCUUCUUUCUUCACUCGUGUGCUGAGCUUAAACUGCAGCUGUUCAGCAUCUGGUUGCUACUUUGGAACAAUAUUGUGAAUUCUAAGGGUGCUUGAAGAUGUCAUUUCAGUUCUACCUGUAAUAAAAUAUAUUAG